CCACUUUUGCAUUUAAUACCACACCCACCAAAGACAUUUGAGUGAAACCAUAGUUUAUCUAUGAUGAAACCUGGCUAGCUAGCUUUUAGCUCCAUCGCAUUGCUAAAGUAUUACAGCAUUCUCCGAAUGGAAGGAGGUUUGAGGCUGAGAAUCCUGUCUUGUCAGUAAUGAACCCGACGUAUUCAAGUUUUCAAAGAACCGGACAUUUGGAUCUACCGAGCACAACUCCAGAUCACACACAAUAUUCAAACUGACCAUUGAAAGCAAGGUUAGAGAUGAGGAACUCAGUGAUGGCACUACUAUCAGGGUGUCCUCUCUGGUGAGUGGGUGGGGCA